GCUUACUGAAGAUAGGGCCUUUCAAGUGAAGGAGAGUAAGGAAAGAAGUUGGGGUAUUCCAAGAUGUGAAGAAUCCUCUCUUUAGUGAGGAAUUCAAGAUAUUGAUCAACUAUUCCCACAAGAAGAAGCAUUUGCCUCCAGGGUACCAUGAACGUGUGGCAUUAUAAAUCCAAAGGACAACUGAGGCCUAGUUAAAAGCCACUUUCCUGACAUUCAGUCUUAGACUACAUUGUUUGCUAACAAUAGGACUCAAACUGAUUUACAUACUAAGGAAAAACUCUGCUAGGGAAAUUAAUCUUAGGUGUCAUAUCAAUUAAAUGCUCUCAUUACUUAAUUGUAAUAUUCUUAAUAAACCGAAUAGGUUAAUUUGAAUAAAUUCACAAUUGUUUGAAAA